GGUAGUUCUCUUAUUAAGGGAUAAUAAAGUGGGUAAAGAGGAAGAGAGUGAAAUUGGUUUUAAUUGGGUGGAGAGAAAAGGGUAGGAAGAAAUGGAUUUGGUGGUGGUGAAGAAAGGAGGGAGGGAGAUAAGGCAGCCAUUAGUUGCCAUGGAUAAAGGCUUGGUUAAGGGUUUGAUUGCGCAAGACAUUGGUGGUAAAGAGGGAGGAUGAAGCAAAGGGUUUAUGAGGGGGAAAGAGGAUAAGGUGGAGUAGAGAGCAGAGGUUUUG
rnacentral:lncRNA from 1 species